rnacentral:rRNA from 1 species
GACGAACGCUGGCGGCGUGCUUAACACAUGCCAGUCGAACGGAAAGGCCCUGCUUUUGUGGGGUGCUCGAGUGGCGAACGGGUGAGUAACACGUGAGUAACCUGCCCUUGACUUUGGGAUAACUUCAGGAAACUGGGGCUAAUACCGGAUAGGAGCUCCUGCUGCAUGGUGGGGGUUGGAAAGUUUCGGCGGUUGGGGAUGGACUCGCGGCUUAUCAGCUUGUUGGUGGGGUAGUGGCUUACCAAGGCUUUGACGGGUAGCCGGCCUGAGAGGGUGACCGGCCACAUUGGGACUGAGAUACGGCCCAGACUCCUACGGGAGGCAGCAGUGGGGAAUAUUGCACAAUGGGCGGAAGCCUGAUGCAGCAACGCCGCGUGUGGGAUGACGGCCUUCGGGUUGUAAACCGCUUUCGCCUGUGACGAAGCGUGAGUGACGGUAAUGGGUAAAGAGGCACCGGCUAACUACGUG